UAUACUGUAACACUAAAAGAAUGAGGACCUGGAUCAUAAACUAUACCUGUACUUAUACCUAUACUUAUUUCAAUGUAUUUUUCUCUUACAAAUUCAUCCACCUGUUGCUCUAUCAGUUAACCUCAACAGGAAAGUCCUUUGCUAUAAAUAUAUGACCUAUUACCUUCUAUUGUGCUGUAACACUGUAAGAAUGAGGGUCAGGACCAGCAUACACUAUACCUAUACUUAUUUCAAUAUAUUUUUCUCUUACAAAUUUAUGCACUCGUUGCUCUAUCAGUUAACCUCAACAGGAAAGUCCUUUGCUAUAAAUAUAUGACCUAUUACCUUCUAUUGUGCUGUAACACUGUAAGAAUGAGGGUCAGGACCAGCAUACACUAUAUCUAUACUUAUUUCAAUAUAUUUUUCUCUUACAAAUUCAUGCACUCGUUGCUCUAUCAGUUAACCUCAACACUAACAGCUGUACGUCAUUUUUCAAUUGAUUCGUCACCGCCGUCGUAAAAUUCUGCAUCGAAUCAGUGUGCAGCCACGCGCCUAACGUUACGCACGUUCUAUCGUUGUUACAAAAUAACUGGCAGGAGAAAAAUAUCGUGGAAUGGAACGACAAGGACGAAGAAACUAUUGGCAAAACUUCUCGCGGGUAUCGCAUGUCGAGACCACCGUCAAACUCACCCGCAACGAGCAUGCGAACCCAUAUACAUACUUGUGCAGCUGCUGGCGUAUCUUGGAUGCGGCGCGACACUUAUAGAGGCAAGCAAUGCUAAUUCAAACAAAGUUAUCGUUCGGUAGAUAUAUAUUUAAUUCUUUUCUCAUUUACAUACGAGUACGAUGGCAGCCUCACAAUGUGCCAUUGUCGAGGACCUCUGCUUGAAUGGGCAAGGACCAUCGAGACCGCGUUUCCAGGUGGCGAUAAUUCUCCUAGAUGAAAUUAAGCACAGCCUACGCGCCACACGAACGCAACCAGAUUUAUCUGGAUUCAUUUCAGGCGAAAUCAAAACCAACUGGUUAUCGUGAUACCUGCUCGUAAUUAACUUCUUGGAAGCAACGUGAAGAAGAGUAUUAGGUCGUCCGAAAAGUUCCUUUCGUUCUACAAGAAAAUUGCGUGUGAUGCAUUUUCUUAUAUUAAUAGGAUAAACGUUUGAUAGGUACCAUUUCGGCCAUUUUUCAACGGCAUUAACAUUUGUUAAGAAUCUCGGCCAAGAUUUCGCGAUAUCUCAUUCUGAUCAUCGGUUUUCAUCACUAACCGAACGAUGGACAAAAAUGAGCUGAGAAUUUUGUACGUAACUGUGUACUCGUAUUCCUAACGUACCAUUCGAACAGCGACAGUUGGAUUUUGAUACAACGUCAGGAGAAGAUAAACAAGCAUAUUCGUAGAAAUUUGCUGGAUAUUUUUGCUGAGGCAAACGCAACUCUGAGUUAAGGACAAAAAUGACCCGAAACCCGCACUGGGAUUAAGACAAGCGAAAUAUGUAUGCUGCGUCUGAAUUUUAACUGGAACAUGCUACAUCUGUAAUUAUGAGAAAAUGGGUUGCCAUGAUAUAUUAGCUGCAGUUAGGAUAUUAUUAGCUGCGGAACGUCUUCUUUCCGGACAUUUUGAAAAUCGCCGAAGAACAGUCGUCCCGCUGCGCUCAAGUUUACCUUUUUUCAUGGCAGACAAGAGGUCUCUUUUGUCGGUGAAUUGCACUUUGCUUUUUCGUUGGCACGAGCUGUUAAAUGGUUCCGGAUAUCUUCGGAGAAAGCUACUGAAUUUGCGUCGGGUCUUGUUAUACCCGACAAUGGCUGCAAUCAUCGUGUCUGUGACGCGGAUUAUGAGCAUAAAGUGGGUUCAGAAAGGAAGAGUGCCAUUUUGUAACUGAGAACGAGGAAUUUGCGAAGAAUAAGGAUACAGCGUUUACAUUCUCCUUCUUCAUAAAUCUUCUCUCAGGACCUCACUCGAAGAUAUUUCCAAAUCAUAAUUGAACAAUUUUUAACGUUGAUGGAAAAUCCAUGAAAAUACAGUAUGCAUAUAUUUAAUAUGCAAAAUAUACAAACAAAAAUAUGAAAGUAGAGUAUCCGAAUAUUUAGAAGAUGAGACAAAUCUUUUUGUGUAUAAAGAUACCACUUUUUAGUUCACAAAAAUAUGAACUUAAUGUUUAUGCAAAUUCAUAUUUUUUACAAAUUAAAAAAGAAAGAAACGUUCGAUCUUUCAUCGUAUCUCUGGAUUACGAACAAUCAAUUUGCAAGCUUCUAACAUUCGGAUAAAUAAUUUUGUUUCAUCUCUCUGUUAACUGAAAAUUAUUUAUCAGAAAGCCCCUAAGUAAAUAAGAUUUUCCAAAAAGCGAACGAAUGAGACGAAAAUUAGCGGGUCGGGUCACCAAGCUGUGCACGGUUGGUUCAUCUUCCAAAUUGCUCCUGUUCGUUCUUCUAUUUCCCAUUUAUCAAUCUCUACGAGCACCUUGUACGAGAGAAGCUUCAUCGGGUGUGCGAAAAGUGAAAGGAAAAUUGAACGUGGAAAGAUGGCGCGUACACGGUGGAACGAAAUAGCGUGAAGCCUGGAUUAUCUGCUACACCCUCGUUGGAGUGCCUGGUGUAGACUUGGAGAUUCAUCCUGAUAAGAAUUUCCAUGCUGCGGCAAGUAUCUCGUUAAAAUACAAGCUUUACACCUGUACAGCAGCAUUGGACUACUACAGUGAACUACUACAUCUCACUGAGACGAGGAAAGUCCUGAAACCUCUAAUGGAACUACUUGAACGUAAAUCUACAAGCUAGAAAGUUGGUAAAUAUAGGAACAAAUAUGAAUAAAAAUAGACAAAUAUGUUGGAUAUUAUUAUUAUACGUUGUAAGUAACUAUAAAUGUAAUUAAUUAUUAUUCCAAGUAUUAACUAUUUAUUUGUUUGUGUUUUAAAAAAUCGCAAUUCGACGAUACAUUGUUAGAAAAUGCGAUAAAUUUGUUUGUAUUCUGUGAAUUUUAAUCGAUUCUCCAAUGCUUCCACUUUAUUUCUCCUUUAUUUACACCUUUGCAACAGCUGACGCCAUUUUCUUAACCUAACUGCAACCUUGUAGAUGUUCAGAAUUCUGACAAAACUCAGAAUUACUAAUGUUGAGAUAAUUACUUCAAGAAAAACUCUACAUCUUUAUUUAUGUAUAUCCGUGACCUUGACAAUGCUGUCACGCAGAAAAUAGAAUUUAGAGAAACAAAAAUAUUCUAAAUAAGGAGAGGUGCAUAUUAUUGUGCCCUUGAAUAUAAAUUAUGUUUUGGGUUACAAGGAUUAGGAACAAAGGAACUAAUAAGUAGAUUUCUAUCUAUGUUCCUUGUAGCCUUUAGUUAGAGCUAUAAGAUUAACUACUUUAAUAAUGUUCUUUUACUAUAAAUACAUGAACGUGCUCCCUAUUUUUCUAUUGUA